GCUUGCUCUUAUGAAGUUAGCGGCGGACGGGUGAGUAACACGUGGGUAACCUGCCCAUAAGACUGGGAUAACUCCGGGAAACCGGGGCUAAUACCGGAUAACAUUUUGAACCGCAUGGUUCGAAAUUGAAAGGCGGCUUCGGCUGUCACUUAUGGAUGGACCCGCGUCGCAUUAGCUAGUUGGUGAGGUAACGGCUCACCAAGGCAACGAUGCGUAGCCGACCUGAGAGGGUGAUCGGCCACACUGGGACUGAGACACGGCCCAGACUCCUACGGGAGGCAGCAGUAGGGAAUCUUCCGCAAUGGACGAAAGUCUGACGGAGCAACGCCGCGUGAGUGAUGAAGGCUUUCGGGUCGUAAAACUCUGUUGUUAGGGAAGAACAAGUGCUAGUUGAAUAAGCUGGCACCUUGACGGUACCUAACCAGAAAGCCACGGCUAACUACGUGCCAGCAGCCGCGGUAAUACGUAGGUGGCAAGCGUUAUCCGGAAUUAUUGGGCGUAAAGCGCGCGCAGGUGGUUUCUUAAGUCUGAUGUGAAAGCCCACGGCUCAACCGUGGAGGGUCAUUGGAAACUGGGAGACUUGAGUGCAGAAGAGGAAAGUGGAAUUCCAGGUGUAGCGG
rnacentral:rRNA from 1 species